ensembl:lincRNA
AUGUUUGCGUCUGAACCUGCGCGGCUCGAGGUCUGGUUUGUGUCCUUGCCCUUGACAGAGGCCCUACCGUUCCCUGCUGUCCUACACUCACGAAGGUCACCGUGCUGCUUGCCCUUUCUGGAAGGCGGGAGGAGGACAAGCCACGUCAGUUCAGGCCCUCCAAACCCAGACCCUUCAGAAUCUGCCCAGAGACGCACGAAGGCCGCUGUGAGCAGCUUGGGUAGAGGCGGGCUUGCACUGGGACAGCUCCUCGCCUGGCCCAUCAGAUCGCUGUCCUGCACGCCCUCUGGGCUCUCAGCACAGACUGCUGGGGCCCUGAGACGGGCUGGGCUCCGUCAGCCUCCGGACGCUCACUGCCUCCCCGGGCCUCCUUUCAACCUCCACAGCACGGUGCAUUGCUUACUUCACCAGCGGUUUUGAGAACCCAAUGACUCGGCCCGUGGGAAGAGCUAGAACUGAGUCCUAGCGGGACGAGAAACUUGCGGCACACGCUCUAGACUUACAGUGGGGCUGAGUCCCAGCAAGUCCAUUGCAAGUCAACACUAUCCAGGGUCACAAUGCACUGAAACAUGCGCAACACACGCCGAGUGUACCUAACCCGCCGAGCAUCCUUGGAGAGCGCCAGCUGUCCCCCACCCCCUGAUCACAGGGCCUCCUGGAAGCUGCGUCACGGGCACUGCCCAGUGUUGAGAGAGGAUCUGGCCUCUCCUAUCACUAUGCCUGGAAAAAAUCCAAAUUCAAACAUGGUUUCUGCUGAGUUUGUACCACUUCUGCACCAUUGUAAGGUAGAGGAAUUCUAAGUGGGAACAUUGUAAGUCAGGAAGCAUCUAUGGAUCGAAAAUGUGGCGGAUGUUUUGACCAUGGCCUCAUCCAUAACCACAGUGAUUUUAGAAGCAAACCUUAGCAAUACUGCGAGACAUGAAUGACUGGGAUGUCGGGGUUGGCUUGAGCUUAAUAAACAAUCUCCCAGGAAAUCUGGAGAUUGACAAAACACAGCCUAACAUAGUAUAUGCUCAGUAAAUAUUUGUGGAAUGAAUCAACAAAAUAUAAUGGUUUCCAAAGACGAAUGCCGUGGGGAAAAUUUAAAAGGCAAGGGACAUAGCAUGCAUGGGACAAGGAAGAGGAAGGGGAGGGGCAAAGUUUGUGCUAAAAGCUGUCCAGAAAGAGCAGGAAGAGCAGUGAAGAACGGCAGGGACAGGUGACAGCGUGAGGAGAUGGAGUGAGGGGUGGCUGGGGACCACAGAGGGCCCAGGGCUUUGAGGGGCUCAGACAGGCGCUCACCUGCUCCAUGCAGAGGUUUGAAACAAGGUCACCUGCAUCUCAAUAUGCUUUGGGAAUUAAGAACCUCACUGGGACACUGGGUGGGGCUUCCCAGGUCCCUUCAGGAGAAGGGUUGCCCAUAUUUCUGCCCCAUGGCCACCUCCUCUGCCCUUUUCCAGAGCACGGGCCAGCUGGACCGCAGCUCCCUCUUCCCACUGGGACAGGAAGGUGAAGUCCCUGGGAGCACUGGGCUCAGGGCUUUGUCGGUGAGUUACCGGGGCUGUUGGGUAGCUGACCUCACUGCAUCCUCAUGCCGCACCCCGGUAGCAUGGUGACGCUGCCACCUGUGACACCCCCGACGAAGCUGGGCGUGAUGGCCCCAGAAGGUGGGGUGUGCAGCCAGACUGCACCCUGCUGCCUACAGCCUCAGUGCCACACGAGGUGCUUGGAGGCUUCUCUGAG